rnacentral:rRNA from 1 species
GUUCUUUUGUUUAUAUAAAAGAUUUGACCUGCCCUAUGAUUAAUUAAAUGGCUGCAGUAUUUUGACUGUACAAAGGUAGCAUAAUCAUUUGCCUUUUAAUUGGAGGCUUGUAUGAAUGGUUUGAUGAAAAAUAUACUUUCUUUAUUUUAUAAAUAAAAAUUACUUUUUAAGUCAAAAAGCUUAGAUAAUAUUAUUAGACGAGAAGACCCUAUAGAACUUUAUUAAUAUUUUUUUAAAUAAAUUUUAGGUUAUAAUAUUUAUUUAUUAAUUAUUUAAUUGUGUUGGGGUGAUAGAAAAAUUUGAUAAACUUUUUCUUUAUAUAACAUUUAUAUAUGUUUUAUUGAUCUUUUAUUAUUAAAUAUAAGAUUAAGUUACCUUAGGGAUAACAGCGUUAUUAUUUUAGAGAGUUCUUAUCAAUAAAAUAGUUUGCGACCUCGAUGUUGGAUUAAAAUAAGUGACAGAGGAAGAAUGUUGUUUACUAGGUCUGUUCGACCUUUAAAUUUUUACA